rnacentral:rRNA from 1 species
GACGAACGCUGGCGGCGUGCUUAACACAUGCAAGUCGAACGGAAAGGCCCUGCUUUUGUGGGGUGCUCGAGUGGCGAACGGGUGAGUAACACGUGAGUAACCUGCCCUUGACUUUGGGAUAACUUCAGGAAACUGGGGCUAAUACCGGAUAGGAGCUCCUGCUGCUUGGUGGGGGUUGGAAAGUUUCGGCGGUUGGGGAUGGACUCGCGGCUUAUCAGCUUGUUGGUGGGGUAGUGACUUACCAAGGCUUUGACGGGUAGCCGACCUGAGAGGGUGACCGGGCACAAGGGGACUGAGAUACGGCCCAGACUGCUACGGGAGGCAGCAGUGGGAAAUAUUGCGCAAUGGGGGGAAGCCUGAUGCAGCAGCGCCGCGUGCGGGAUGACGGCCUUCGGGGUGUAAACCGCUUUCGCCUGUGACGAAGCGUGAGUGACGGUAAUGGGUAAAGAAGCACCGGCUAACUACGUG